AGCGAACGCUGGCGGCAGGCUUAACACAUGCAAGUCGAGCGGGCACUUCGGUGUCAGCGGCAGACGGGUGAGUAACACGUGGGAACGUGCCCUUCGGUUCGGAAUAACUCAGGGAAACUUGAGCUAAUACCGGAUACGCCCUUUUGGGGAAAGGUUUACUGCCGAAGGAUCGGCCCGCGUCUGAUUAGCUAGUUGGUGGGGUAAUGGCCUACCAAGGCGACGAUCAGUAGCUGGUCUGAGAGGAUGAUCAGCCACACUGGGACUGAGACACGGCCCAGACUCCUACGGGAGGCAGCAGUGGGGAAGUAUUGGUACAAUGGGCGCAAGCCUGAUCCAGCCAUGCCGCGUGAGUGAUGAAGGCCUUAGGGUUGUAAAGCUCUUUCGACGGGGACGAUAAUGACGGUACCCGUAGAAGAAGCCCCGGCUAACUUCGUGCCAACAGCCGCAGU
rnacentral:rRNA from 1 species